GGGGCCGCACGGGCGCGGAGGGCGGGCGCGGGCCAGCUGGGCCCGGAACGUGCGCCGCCGGGGCCGAGGAGGGGACUGGCCGAGCUGGUGGAGGAGAGCAGGAAAACGUGGGGGAGGUGCUGGCGAGAGAAAGAGAACUUGCGUGAGGAGGAGGAGGAGAAACCAAAUUUAACAUUUGGCGUGGAAAUGGGAUUUUUUUUUUUUUUUUUUUUGCAUCCUCCAAGCAAGUAAAGUGAAAUCAAUCAACAUUAUCCUCCCUCCCUUCGGCAAGUGAGGAUUACUUUCUCCUUGGGUAAAGGAAGAGAACUGAAGCAGGGAGGACAGCAAGAAUGAGGGACAGGAAACAGAGAGGCAGAGAGUGGAAUGAUGCAGCUACAAGCCAAGGAAUGCCAAGGAGUGACAGCCACCACCAGAAGCUAGGA